rnacentral:rRNA from 1 species
UACGGAGGGGGCAAGCGUUACUCGGAAUCAUUGGGCGUAAAGCGCGUGUAGGUGGCUAGUUAAGUCGGGUGUGAAAUCCCUGGGCUCAACCGAGGAAGUGCACUCGAUACUGGCUGGCUAGAAGAUAGUAGAGGAAGGUGGAAUUCCAAGUGUAGAGGUGAAAUUCGUAGAUAUUUGGAGGAAUACCGGCGGCGAAGGCGGCCUUCUGGGCUAUUCUUGACACUGAGACGCGAAAGCGUGGGGAGCAAACAGG